CAAUGGACGAAAGUCUGAUGGAGCAACGCCGCGUGAGUGAAGAAGGUUUUCGGAUCGUAAAACUCUGUUGUAAGGGAAGAACAAGUACGGUAGUAACUGGCCGUACCUUGACGGUACCUUAUUAGAAAGCCACGGCUAACUACGUGCCAGCAGCCGCGGUAAUACGUAGCGUGGCAAGCGUUGUCCGGAAUUAUUGGGCGUAAAGCGCGCGCAGGCGGUCCUUUAAGUCUGAUGUGAAAGCCCACGGCUCAACCGUGGAAGGUCAUUGGAAACUGGGGGACUUGAGUGCAGAAGAGGUUAGUGGAAUUCCAAGUGUAGCGGUGAAAUGCGUAGAGAUUUGGAGGAACACCAGUGGCGANNGCGACUAACUGGUCUGUAACUGACGCUGAGGCGCGAAAGCGUGGGGAGCAAACAGGAUUAGAUACCCUGGUAGUCCACGCCGUAAACGAUGAGUGCUAAGUGUUAGGGGGUNUCCGCCCCUUAGUGCUGCAGUANACGCAUUAAGCACUCCGCCUGGGGAGUACGGCCGC
rnacentral:rRNA from 1 species